rnacentral:rRNA from 1 species
AUUGAACGCUGGCGGCAUGCCUUACACAUGCAAGCCGAACGGUAACAGGUCUUCGGAUGCUGACGAGUGGCGAACGGGUGAGUAAUACAUCGGAACGUGCCUAGUAGUGGGGGAUAACUACUCGAAAGAGUGGCUAAUACCGCAUGAGAUCUACGGAUGAAAGCAGGGGAUCGCAAUACCUUGUGCUACUAGAGCGGCCGAUGGCAGAUUAGGUAGUUGGUGGGAUAAAAGCUUACCAAGCCGACGAUCUGUAGCGGGUCUGAGAGGACGAUCAGCCACACUGGGACUGAGACACGGCCCAGACUCCUACGGGAGGCAGCAGUGGGGAAUUUUGGACAAUGGGCGAAAGCCUGAUCCAGCAAUGCCGCGUGCAGGAUGAAGGCCUUCGGGUUGUAAACUGCUUUUGUACGGAACGAAAAGCCCCGGGUUAAUACCCUGGGGUCAUGACGGUACCGUAAGAAUAAGCACCGGCUAACUACGUGCCAGCCGCCGCAGUAA